AACGAACGCUGGCGGCAGGCUUAACACAUGCAAGUCGAACGCAUCCUUCGGGGUGAGUGGCAGACGGGUGAGUAACGCGUGGGAACGUGCCCUUCAGUUCGGGAUAACCCAGGGAAACUUGGGCUAAUACCGGAUACGUGCGAGAGCAGAAAGAUUUAUCGCUGAAGGAUCGGCCCGCGUCUGAGUAGCUAGUUGGUGGGGUAAUGGCCCACCAAGGCGACGAUCAGUAGCUGGUCUGAGAGGAUGAACAGCCACAUUGGGACUGAGACACGGCCCAAACUCCUACGGGAGGCAGCAGUGGGGAAUAUUGGACAAUGGGCGCAAGCCUGAUCCAGCCAUGACGCGUGAGUGAUGAAGGCCUUAGGGUUGUAAAGCUCUUUCGUCCGGGACGAUAAUGACGGUACCGGAAGAAGAAGCCCCGGCUAACUUCGUGCCAGCCGCCGCAGUAA
rnacentral:rRNA from 1 species